rnacentral:misc_RNA from 1 species
GAUGAAGAACGCAGUGAAAUGCGAUAAGUAAUGUGAAUUGCAGAAUUCAGUGAAUCAUCGAAUCUUUGAACGCACCUUGCGCCCUUUGGCUAUUCUGAAGGGCAUGCCUGUUUGAGUAUCAUGAACACCUCAACUCUCAUGGUUUGCCAUGAUGAGCUUGGACUUUGGGGGUCUUGCUGGCCUGUGGGUCGGCUCCUCUCAAAUGAAUCAGCUUGCCGGUUUUUGGUGGGCAUCACAGGUGUGAUAACUAUCUACGCUUGUGGUUUUCCACCAGGGUAACCUUCAGCAGUGGAGGUUCACUGGAGCUUACAAAUGUCUCUCCUCUGUGAGGACAGCCCUUUGAAUGUUUGAUCUCAAAUCAGGUAGGACUACCCGCUGAACUUAAGCAUAUCAAUAAGCGGAGGA